AUUGAACGCUGGCGGCAGGCCUAACACAUGCAAGUCGAACGGCAGCACGGCAGUAGCAAUACUGUGGGUGGCGAGUGGCGGACGGGUGAGGAAUACAUCGGGAUCUACCCUGUUGUGGGGGAUAACGUAGGGAAACUUACGCUAAUACCGCAUAAGAACUGAGGUUGAAAGCGGCGGACCGCAAGGCGUCGCGCGAUUGGAUGAACCGAUGUCCGAUUAGCUAGUUGGCGGGGUAAAGGCCCACCAAGGCGACGAUCGGUAGCUGGUCUGAGAGGACGACCAGCCACACUGGAACUGAGACACGGUCCAGACUCCUACGGGAGGCAGCAGUGGGGAAUAUUGGACAAUGGGCGCAAGCCUGAUCCAGCCAUGCCGCGUGGGUGAAGAAGG
rnacentral:rRNA from 1 species